UGCUCCCUACGGGGGGCAGCAGUAGGGAAUCUUCCACAAUGGACGCAAGUCUGAUGGAGCAACGCCGCGUGAGUGAAGAAGUAUUUCGGUAUGUAAAGCUCUAUCAGCAGGGAAGAAAAUGACGGUACCUGAGUAAGAAGCCCCGGCUAACUACGUGCCAGCAGCCGCGGUAAUACGUAGGGGCAAGCGUUAUCCGGAUUUACUGGGUGUAAAGGGAGCGUAGACGGCGAUACAAGUCUGAAGUGAAAGCCCGGGGCUCAACCCCG
rnacentral:rRNA from 1 species